CGCGCUUCAGCACCCUGCAGUCCCGUUCUGUGUGGUCUACCACUUCAUGGCCGAGUCGUUGUUGCUCCUUGACGUUUCCACUUCACAAAAACACAACUGACAGUUGAUCAAUAGCAGGACAGAAAUUUGACGAACUGACUGGUUGGAAAGGUGGCCUCCUAUGAUGGUGCCACGUCGAAAGUCACUCAGGUCUUCAGGAAAUUGAGCACACAGACAUGCAAUCUCCAUAGAGAAACAUUGGCAGUAAUGCCAAUUUUGUACAACAGUCAGCAACGGGUGGGGCUGAAAUAGACAAAUCCACUCAUUUGAAGGGGUGUCCACGUACUUUUGUGUGUGUAGUGUAUUAAGUUAUUUUUCUUAGAACUGCAUUGCUGGUUAAGGGCUUGUAAGUAAGCAUUUCACUAUUGUAUUCGGAGCAUGUGACAAAUACAAUUUGAUUUGAUUUGGUUUGAAGUCAGGCUGUGCAACUGUAUUUGAGUUUUAUUGAGAACGGCCAGUAAAUGUAUAAAGCCAACCGUAGUGACUUUAAAUUAGAUAUACAACAUGACGCUGUAAUGUCAGCGAGAGCUACUGCUAUUGCUGUUUCUUCUAAAGGGGAACAGAUGACAGAUCUCUCCCAGGACACUUAACAGCACUUCCUCUCCCCUCUCUGUUUAUUGGCUAUAUUUACUCUGUUCUUUUACAGGCCACCAUUGUUUUUAGAGAGGCCAAUCACUCCACUUGGUGAUUGGACAAACUCCUUUCAUGUGUCUUCUCUGGAAUCUGGAGCUCAGGCCAGGAACCCAAACAGCCUUUACACCUCUUCCCUAUGCCUUGUCCUCAUCUGUUUCAUACGUUUGUGUAACAGAGGUAGUUUAGUGACCAUGCUAGUGUAAUGAUCAGUAACCUUACUUGAGACUUGAAGAGUUGCAAUGGCUCCCCUAGCAAACGCCUAGGCUUUGGCUUAGUGGGCUAAUGCAUUCUCCCGGGAUUGAUCCCUGUUUGUCACACUUGCUCGUAUUCUGAACAUGACGAACGCCCGUCUUAAUUCCAGGUUAGAAAAGGAGAGGUGAGGAAGGAGAGGGACUUUGCUAGAGGCCAACCUAAGCCCUCUACCAGACGGGUCCUGCGUAACACAGGCCAGGCACCAGUGCGCACGCCUUUCUUUCGCAUGUACUCCAGCAGUCAUCUGGAGAUCACGCAGAGAGCUCUAAGGCUCUUCCAGCAGGCAGCCCGCAAGGUGGUGAUUAAAUGUCGUGUGAACAACAGACUGGUCUCGUUGAGGCAGCUGACUCAAAGCUUGAAGCGCCUGUCCCCAGGAGUAAGAGUUGAGGAGGAGCCCCUUCAUCCCCCGAAGAUCUCACCAGACAACGUGGUUCCUUUCACAUUCCCCAUCUUCUCUCUUCCUAACCAGUCUGAUGAACUGGUUCCCCAGCACUACAAGUUAAUGGGGUACCAGCCUGUUUCGGCCUUUGAGGCUGCCGCUAGCUACACCCCCCCCCCAACCCCCAUCCCAGCCCAGGACGCUAUGCACUGGGGCACAGGAUGAACUGUUUCCCAGGGUGAUCCGUUCUCCCUCGGGGUGUGCAGUGGCCGAGCCAGAGGGCGAGGAGGAUGAGUGUCCCAGUCUGAGCUUCAUGGCCCCCACCGCCCUGCUGAAGCCUCCCUACGCACACCCCCUCGGAAUCUUUACUUUGUUCUGCACUGUAGAACCCAGCCCCCCGGUCUCCAUGCCUUCAAAGCAGACCUCCUCUACCUAGAGUGUGAUCUGGAGUUCCACCUGUGUCCACUGCCCCGGUACACCAUCCCAAAGCCCUCUGUGUUUGGAAU